rnacentral:rRNA from 1 species
GAUGAACGCUGGCGGCGUGCCUAAUACAUGCAAGUCGAGCGAACAGACGAGGAGCUUGCUCCUCUGACGUUAGCGGCGGACGGGUGAGUAACACGUGGAUAACCUACCUAUAAGACUGGGAUAACUUCGGGAAACCGGAGCUAAUACCGGAUAACAUGUUGAACCGCAUGGUUCAACAGUGAAAGACGGUCUUGCUGUCACUUAUAGAUGGAUCCGCGCCGCAUUAGCUAGUUGGUAAGGUAACGGCUUACCAAGGCAACGAUGCGUAGCCGACCUGAGAGGGUGAUCGGCCACACUGGAACUGAGACACGGUCCAGACUCCUACGGGAGGCAGCAGUAGGGAAUCUUCCGCAAUGGGCGAAAGCCUGACGGAGCAACGCCGCGUGAGUGAAGAAGGUCUUCGGAUCGUAAAACUCUGUUAUUAGGGAAGAACAAAUGUGUAAGUAACUAUGCACGUUUUGACGGUACCUAAUCAGAAAGCCACGGCUAACUACGUG